UACGUAGGGUCCAAGCGUUAAUUGGAAUUACUGGGCGUAAAGCGUGCGCAGGCGGUUCGUUAAGUCAGCUGUGAAAGCCCCGGGCUCAACCUGGGAAUUGCGGUUGAAACUGGCGAACUAGAAUCUGGCAGAGGGGGGUGGAAUUCCACGUGUAGCAGUGAAAUGCGUAGAGAUGUGGAGGAACACCGAUGGCGAAGGCAGCCCCCUGGGCUGAGAUUGACGCUCAGGCACGAAAGCGUGGGGAGCAAACAGG
rnacentral:rRNA from 1 species